GACGAAAGCUGGCGGCGUGCCUAAUACAUGCAAGUAUACCUUAGUGGCGAAAGGGUGAGUAAAACGUGGGUAACCUGACAAUAAGAAGGGGAUAACACUUGGAAACAGGUGCUAAUACAGUAUCCUGAUGGAGGAACCCGCGGUGCAUUAGCUAGUUGGGGGGGUAAAGGCAUACACAGGCUACGAUCCGUACCUGGGCUAAGAGGAGUAUCAGUCAAACUGGAACGUAGACACGGUCCAUAUUCCUACGGUAGGCAGCAGUGGGGAAUAUUGGACAAUGGGCGAAAGCCUGAGCCAGCCAUGCCGCGUGUGUGAAGAAGGUCUUCGGAUUGUAAAGCACUUUAAGUUGGGAGGCGUUACCAACAGAAUAAGCACCGGCUAACUUCGUGCCAGCAGCCGCGGUAAUUC
rnacentral:rRNA from 1 species